rnacentral:other from 1 species
AGAGUUCUGCGAUGUACGUGGUAUCCAUACAGUGUUGACCGAACAUUUAACGUUUUAAAAGGGAUUCAUUCCGUUACUUCUGACUACAUGCCACAUCACAUGGAAGUAUAACGUUGUAACUACCGAAGCCCACCUGCUUAUACCGCGGGUUCAAACUAAAUGGAUACAACACACGGCAUUAACGGAUCUCAA